GAAGCUACUAAGGGCUUACGGUGGAUGCCUUGGCGCAAAGUGCCGAUGAAGGACGUGGGUCACUGCGAUAAGCCUCGAGGAGCCGUGAACAGGCUUUGAUUCGGGGAUUUCCGAAUGGGGAAACCUACUGUUGUGAACCAACAGUGUUCUCAGCUGAAUAUAUAGGCUGAAGGACGGGCACCUGGGGAACUGAAACAUCUAAGUACCCAGAGGAAAAGAAAUCAUUCCCAGAGUAGUGGCGAGCGAAAUGGGAUCAGCUCAAACCGCCACAGCUUGCUGUGACGGGGUUGUAGGAUCUGGCAUAUGGAAGUUACAAAGCAAAUCGCUAGCAGAAUGGUAUGGAAAAGCCUACCAAAGAGGGUGAGAGUCCCGUACGCGAAAGUGAUUUGCCUUCCGCUAGACACCUGAGUACUACCGGGCACGCUAAUCCGGUAGGAAUCUGGGAGGUCCACCUCCCAAAGCUAAACACACUUUGCGACCGAUAGUGAACUAGUACCGUGAGGGAAAGGUGAAAAGCACCCCGGUGAGGGGAGUGAAAUAGAACCUGAAACCGUAAGCCUACAAACAGUCGAAGGGCUAAUGGCGGGUCGGUGUUCCGGUGAAAGCCGGCACGCGCCGCUAUGCCUGACGGCGUGCCUUUUGGAGAAUGAGCCUGCGAGUUAAUCUUUGUGGCAAGGUUAAGGGAGUUACACCCGGAGCCGUAGCGAAAGCGAGUCUGAACAGGGCGUUCAGUCGCAAGGAUUAAACCCGAAACCAGGUGAGCUACCCAUGGCCAGGGUGAAACGAGUCUAACCGCUUGUGGAGGCCCGAACCUACUAAUGUUGCAAAAUUAGGGGAUGAGCUGUGGGUAGAGGUGAUAUGCCAAACGAACUUGGAGAUAGCUGGUUCUCCCCGAAAUAGCUUUAGGGCUAGCGCUAUGCGUUCAGUACCGGAGGUAGAGCACUGAAUGGGCAAGGGGGCUUAUAGCUUACCGACCCCAAUCAAACUCCGAAUGCCGGUACUCCAGAGCAUAGUAGUCGGACUGCGUGAGAUGAGUUUCGUGGUCAAAAGGGAAAGAGCCCAGAUCAUCAGCUAAGGUCCCUAAAUCCAAGCUAAGUGGGAAACGAUGUGGGGUUACUGCAACAACCAGGAGGUUUGCUCAGAAGCAGCCAUCCUUUAAAGAGUGCGUAACAGCUCACUGGUCAAGUGAUCCUGCGCGGAAAAUCCAACGGGGCUAAGCUUGGUACCGAAGCUAUGGGUUUCAGAUUAAUUUCUGGAGCGGUAGGGGAGCGUUCUGUCAGCUGUGAAGGUCGAUCGUAAGGACGACUGGAGUGGACAGAAGUGAGAAUGCAGGCAUGAGUAGCGUAAAACGUGUGAGAAUCACGUUCGCCGUAAGUCUAAGGUUUCCGACGCCAGGUUGUUCCGCGUCGGGUUAGUCGGGUCCUUAGCCGAGGCCGAGAGGCGUAGGUGAUGGAUAACCGGUCAACAUUCCGGUACCACUUUGAUGGAGUGAUGAGGGGACGCAGAAAGGUAGGCCAGCCUGCGAUUGGUUGUGCAGGUGCACCUUGUGUCAGACGUUGAGGUCUGUAGGAAAAUCCGCAGACUGAGUUGAGACAAAGUGACGGUCCUUUAAGGCAUAAGUGAGCUGAGCCUUGCUGCCGAGAAAAGCCUCUAAACGUUGAGAUCAGAGUGCCCGUACCGCAAACCGACACUGGUAGACGAGUAGAGUAUACUAAGGCGAUCGGGAGAACCUUCGUUAAGGAAUUAGGCAACUUAACCCCGUAACUUCGGGAUAAGGGGUGCCUUUUGGCGUGAAAGUUUUACUUGAGCGCCGAGAGGUCGCAGUGAACAGGCUCUAGUGACUGGUUAACAAAACCACAGGUCUCUGCUAAACCGUAAGGUGAUGUAUAGGGGCUGACACCUGCCCAGUGCCGGAAGGUUAAAAGGAGGGGUUAGCGUAAGCGAAGCUCUGAAUUGAAGCCCCGGUGAACGGCGGCCGUAACUAUAACGGUCCUAAGGUAGCGAAAUUCCUUGUCGGGCAAGUUCCGACCCGCACGAAUGGUGUAACAACUGGAGCACUGUCUCAACGAGGGACCCGGUGAAAUUGAAAUAGCUGUGAAGAUGCGGCUUACCCGCAGCAGGACAAAAAGACCCCGUGGAGCUUUACUGCAACUUGGCAUUGAGUUUGGGCAUGUUUUGUGUAGCAUAGGUGGGAGACUUUGAAGCUGGGGCGCCAGCCUCGGUGGAGUCACCGGUGAAAUACCACCCUGAACAUGUUUAGACCCUAACCCUGUACCGUUAUCCGGACAGGGGACCGUGCCAGGUGGGCAGUUUGACUGGGGCGGUCGCCUCCUAAAAGGUAACGGAGGCGCCCAAAGGUUCCCUCAGGUUGAAUGGAAACCAACCGCAGAGUGUAAAGGCACAAGGGAGCUUGACUGCAAGACCAACGCGUCGAGCAGAUACGAAAGUAGGGCUUAGUGAUCCCACGAUUCUGAGUGGAAAGGUCGUGGCUUAUCGGAUAAAAGCUACCCCGGGGAUAACAGGCUGGUGAAGUCCAAGAGUUCACAUCGACGACUUCGCUCGGCACCUCGAUGUCGGCUCAUCGCAUCCUGGGGCUGGACAAGGUCCCAAGGGUCGGGCUGUUCGCCGUUAAAGCGGUACGCGAGCUGGGUUAGACCGUCGUGAGACAGGUCGGUCUCUAUCCGCUGUGGGCGUAAGGGAUUUGAGAGGAGCUGCCCCUAGUACGAGAGGACCGGGGUGGACAGACCUCUGGUGUGCCAGUUGUCGUGCCAACGGCAUUGCUGGGUAGCUAACGUCUGGCAGAGAUAACCGCUGAAAGCAUCUAAGUGGGAAACUCGCCUCGAGAUUAGAUCCCUGGUUCUAUAAAGAAGUAAGAUCGCAGGAAGACUACCUGCUUGAUAGGCGGCAUGUGGAAGUAUAGCAAUAUAUUAAGCUAAGCCGUACUAAUGAUCGAGCGCUUCAUCG
rnacentral:rRNA from 1 species